CAGGGGAUCUGACGUCCUCUUCUGACCUCCAAGGGCACUGCACACACAACACAGGUAUACUUAUAUACAUGUAGGCAAUACACAAUAUAAAAAUAAUAAAAUAUUUAAUAAAGUAAUGUUUAAUAAAUUGGAUUUUUCCCUCUGAAAGAAAGAGGUUUUCUUUUUGGUAUGUCUAGGAAUCCCUUAGAAACAUAAGGGCUUGUUACUGUGCUUAGAGACUUUAAUUCUGCAAGUGGAAGCUCUGGCAUCUGUAUUUUAACAAACCCUCAAGGGAUUUUGGUAACAGGCCUGAGAAGGUCAUCAGAGGCAGGGGUGUAGCUCAGUGAUCCAGUACUCAGGUAGCAUGUGGGUGUAGCUCAGUGAUCCAGUACUCAGGUAGCAUAUGCGUAUAGCUCAGUGAUCCAGUACUCAGGUAGCAUGUGAGGAACCCUGCAUUCGUGUAUCCACACUACAAGAAAACAACAACAACAACAAAAACAAAAACAGGUAAUAGAGAAACGUUCCCUUGAAUAAAAGAUAAAACAUGAAGUCAGUUUUCACAUAGCCAAGUGUUCUCUAAGUGAGGGCUUCCCGUUGUACCAAAUUGUCUUUUCUUUUGAAAUACGUGCAAUUAUUUGACACUACUGUCUUGCCUUUCUUUGAAGGCGUCUGAAGCACUUUAUCAUGUGAGUCCUCUGGGGGUUCGGUUACCACUGCUGUCUACUUGUGUAGUGAACCGGGAGUACGGCAAGUUCAUGACUGAGGCAGACUGCUCAGUGCAGUAAUGGGUCCGGGGUCCAGGACACAUUGGGCUUAUGAUCCAUACUCAGACUUCUGGAAAGUUCUCCAUACCUCAUCCUUCAGUCACUAUCCAAAUUAAUAAAAUAAGUGACAUUUAAAAGCAAAAAGGGUGGGGGCAGCUAAGAGCUGGCUUGGCAGCUAAGAGUGCUUGCUCUUGCACAGAACCUACGUUCAGUUCCCAGCACCCAUGUCAGGCUUCUCACAGCUGCCUGUAACUCCAGCUCCAGGAGAUCCAACACCCUCUUCUGGCCCCCAUGGGCACUGCAUACAUGUGGCAUAUACACAGACACACAGACAUUCAUGUAAGAAAACCACAAAUCUUAAAUAGCAAUGAAUUUUUAAAAAGAAAAAAAACCUAUGUUUUGUAUUCAAAGUCCUGUUUUGGUCAAUAUUCUUGAUUAUUGUGUUCAAGAUACCCAUAACCUGGAAAGUUUGACUUUGACAUGUCUGCAUUCAUCAAUGAUGUAACUCCAUCCACUAACACCACCCAGUGUGUGUAUUACCCACUGUCUAGGGAAUGAGUUUCAAGUUACAAUAAAAAUAUCUUUGUUU